UCUAUCUCUCUCCAACAAAGGGGUUCAUGCCUCCCAUACCUGCAACUAAACAGCACAGAAAUUGUCACAUGGGGAAGAAAUGAGGGACACUUUACAGAAAUCUUUAACAAGGACUGAUGCUGCCAUACAUCAUCGUGGGGGCCGUAAUAGGAGUAAUUGUUUGGGAAAAGAAGAUAAGAGAAAAGGUAAAGAAAUGGGCAGCGGACAAACAAUAGGAGAAGAUCCUGGUGGCAAACGAAGGACAAUGUGAAAGGAAAUGCUGAAGGC